rnacentral:rRNA from 1 species
UCAAGUGUCUUAAGGGCAAUUGGUGGAUGCCUUGGCAUGCACAGGCGAUGAAGGACGUGAUACGCUGCGAUAAGCUACGGGGAGGUGCGAAUACCCUUUGAUCCGUAGAUUUCCGAAUGGGGAAACCCACCUAAGGUGCUUGGAAAAUCAGAGCAGCCAGUGGUCGACAAGGCCAACUUGCUGCUGUGGUUUCCAAGGAUCUGUUAUAGGUAACUUAUCCUGAAUACAUAGGGAUAAAGUGGCGAACGCGGGGAACUGAAACAUCUAAGUACCCGUAGGAAAGGACAUCAACCGAGACUCCGGCAGUAGUGGCGAGCGAACCCGGACCAGGCCAGUGGCGAUGAUGAGACAAGCGGAACCUUCUGGAAAGUAGGGCCAUAGUGGGUGACAGCCCCGUACGCGUAAUGCAAAUCAUCGUCCUCGAGUAAGGCGGGACACGUGAAAUCCUGUCUGAAAUUGGGGGGACCACCCUCCAAGCCUAAGUACUCGUGCAUGACCGAUAGCGAACUAGUACCGUGAGGGAAAGGUGAAAAGCACCCCGACAAGGGGAGUGAAAGAGUACCUGAAACCGAUUGCCUACAAACAGUGGGAGUCCAAGGUUCGUCCUGGGUGACCACGUACCUUUUGUAUAAUGGGUCAGCGACUUAGUGUGACGAGCAAGCUUAAACCGCUAGGUGUAGGCGCAGCGAAAGCGAGUCUGAACAGGGCGUUCAGUUCGUCGCAUUAGACCCGAAACCGAGUGAUCUAGCCAUGAGCAGGUUGAAGGUAAGGUAACACUUACUGGAGGACCGAACCCAUAACUGUUGCAAUAGUUCGGGAUGACUUGUGGCUAGGGGUGAAAGGCCAAUCAAACUCGGAAAUAGCUGGUUCUCCGCGAAAUCUAUUUAGGUAGAGCGUCGACCGAAUACCCCAGGGGGUAGAGCACUGGAUGGGCUAGGGGUCCUCACCGGAUUACCAAACCUAACCAAACUCCGAAUACCUGGGAGUACUAGUCGGCAGACACACGGCGGGUGCUAACGUCCGUCGUGAAAAGGGAAACAACCCUGACCUACAGCUAAGGUCCCCAAGUUAUGGCUAAGUGGGAAAGGAUGUGAGGAUCCCAAAACAACCAGGAUGUUGGCUUAGAAGCAGCCAUCAUUUAAAGAAAGCGUAACAGCUCACUGGUCUAAAUAAGGGUCUUUGCGCCGAAAAUGUAACGGGGCUCAAGCCAUACACCGAAGCUUAGGGUUCGUGAGCAAUCACGAGCGGUAGCGGAGCGUUCUGUAAGCUGAUGAAGCCAUACCCGUGAGGGGUGGUGGAGGUAUCAGAAGUGCGAAUGCUGACAUGAGUAACGUAAGGGGAGUGAGAGACUCCCCCGCCGAAAGUCCAAGGGUUCCUGCUUAAAGCUAAUCUGAGCAGGGUUAGCCGGCCCCUAAGUCGAGGCAGAAAUGCGUAGACGAUGGGAACCACGUUAAUAUUCGUGGGCCUGGAGGAAGUGACGGAUCAUUGAGGUAGUCCAAUCUUAUCGGAUUGAACGGGCUGCUGCGUGGUUCCAGGAAAUAGCUCCUCCUUAUAGACCGUACCCGAAACCGACACUGGUGGACUGGUAGAGUAUACCAAGGCGCUUGAGAGAACUAUGCUGAAGGAACUCGGCAAAUUGCACGCGUAACUUCGGAAGAAGCGUGACCCUUUUCCACGCAAGUGGAGGAGGGUGGCACAGACCAGGGGGUAGCGACUGUUUAUCAAAAACACAGGGCUCUGCGAAGUCGCAAGACGACGUAUAGGGUCUGACGCCUGCCCGGUGCUGGAAGGUUAAGAGGAGGGGUGCAAGCUCUGAAUCGAAGCCCCAGUAAACGGCGGCCGUAACUAUAACGGUCCUAAGGUAGCGAAAUUCCUUGUCGGGUAAGUUCCGACCUGCACGAAUGGCGUAACGACUUCCCCGCUGUCUCCAGCAUAGACUCAGUGAAAUUGAAUUCCCCGUGAAGAUGCGGGGUUCCUGCGGUUAGACGGAAAGACCCCGUGCACCUUUACUAUAGCUUUACAUUGGCAUUCGUAGUGGCAUGUGUAGGAUAGGUGGUAGGCUUUGAAACCUGGGCGCCAGCUCAGGUGGAGCCACCCUUGAAAUACCACCCUUAUCACUAUGGAUGUCUAACCGCGGCCCGUCAUCCGGGUCCGGGACAAUGUAUGGUGGGUAGUUUGACUGGGGCGGUCGCCUCCUAAAGAGUAACGGAGGCGCGCGAUGGUGGGCUCAGAACGGUCGGAAAUCGUUCGCUGAGUGCAAUGGCAUAAGCCUGCCUGACUGCGAGACUGACAAGUCGAGCAGAGACGAAAGUCGGUCAUAGUGAUCCGGUGGUCCCGCGUGGAAGGGCCAUCGCUCAACGGAUAAAAGGUACGCCGGGGAUAACAGGCUGAUGACCCCCAAGAGUCCAUAUCGACGGGGUUGUUUGGCACCUCGAUGUCGACUCAUCGCAUCCUGGGGCUGGAGCAGGUCCCAAGGGUAUGGCUGUUCGCCAUUUAAAGCGGUACGUGAGUUGGGUUCAGAACGUCGUGAGACAGUUCGGUCCCUAUCUGCCGUGGGUGUAGGAAUAUUGAAAGGAUCUGUCCCUAGUACGAGAGGACCGGGAUGGACGGAUCUCUGGUGGACCUGUUGUGGCGCCAGCCGCAUAGCAGGGUAGCUAUAUCCGGACGGGAUAACCGCUGAAGGCAUCUAAGCGGGAAACCCACCUUAAAACGAGUAUUCCCUGAGAACCGUGGAAGACGACCACGUUGAUAGGCCGGGUGUGGAAGAGCGGCAACGCUUGAAGCUUACCGGUACUAAUAGUUCGAUCGGCUUGAUCGU